UACGAAGGGGGCUAGCGUUGCUCGGAAUUACUGGGCGUAAAGGGCGCGUAGGCGGACAGUUUAGUCAGAGGUGAAAGCCCAGGGCUCAACCUUGGAAUUGCCUUUGAUACUGGCUGUCUUGAGUUCGGGAGAGGUGAGUGGAAUGCCGAGUGUAGAGGUGAAAUUCGUAGAUAUUCGGCGGAACACCAGUGGCGAAGGCGACUCACUGGCCCGAUACUGACGCUGAGGCGCGAAAGCGUGGGAAGCAAACAGG
rnacentral:rRNA from 1 species